rnacentral:rRNA from 1 species
GGAGUCUAACAUGCGCGCGAGUCAUUGGGCGGUACGAAACCCAAAGGCGCAGUGAAAGCGAGGGUCGUCUCUCGGCGACCCAGGUGGGAUCCAUCCUCCCAAGAGCGAUCUGCGGAGGGUGGCGCACCACCGGCCCGUCCCGUCUGCGUCGGCAGUGGGGCGGAGCAAGAGCGUGCACGCUGGGACCCGAAAGAUGGUGAACUAUGCCUGAGUAGAACGAAGCCAGAGGAAACUCUGGUGGAGGUUCGUAGCGAUUCUGACGUGCAAAUCGAUCGUCAAACUUGGGUAUAGGGGCGAAAGACUAAUCGAACCAUCUAGUAGCUGGUUCCCUCCGAAGUUUCCCUCAGGAUAGCUGGCGCUCGAUCGGAGUUUUACCCGCUGAAUUUAAGCAUAUAACUAAGCGGAGGAAACUUUUAAUUUUUCUCAAACUUUAAAUGGGUAAGAAGUCCGGCUCGCUCGACAGGAGCCGGGCGCGUCUCGAAUGCGUGUGCCAAGUGGGCCACUUUUGGUAAGCGGAACUGGCGCUGUGGGAUGAACCAAACGCCCGGUUAAGGUGCCAAACGCUGACGCUCAUCAGACACCAUAAAAGGUGUUGGUUGAUAUAGACAGCAGGACGGUGGCCAUGGAAGUC